rnacentral:rRNA from 1 species
GACGAACGCUGGCGGCGUGCUUAACACAUGCAAGUCGAACGGGCCUGUCUUCUUUUUUGGGGGGUGGGUUGAGUGGCGAACGGGUGAGUAUCACGUGAGUAACCUGCCCUUCGGUCCUGGAUAACCGCUUGAAAGGGCGGCUAAUACGGGGUGGUCCGGUUGGUCCUCAUGGGCUGGUCGGGAUAGAUUCACUGUUUUUGGUGUUUCGGCGGGGGAUGGGCUCGCGGCCUAUCAGCUUGUUGGUGGGGUGAUGGCCUACCAAGGCGGUGACGGGUAGCCGGCCUGAGAGGGUGGGCGGCCACACUGGGACUGAGAUACGGCCCAGACUCCUGCGGGAGGCAGCAGUGGGGGGUAUUGCACAAUGGGCGGAAGCCUGAUGCAGCGACGUCGCGUGAGGGAUGGAGGCCUUCGGGUUGUGAACCUCUGUUUCCGGUGGUGAAGGCCCUGUCCGUGUGGUGGGGUUGACGGUAGCCGGGGAUGAAGCGCCGGCUAACUACGUG